rnacentral:rRNA from 1 species
UACAGAGGGUGCAAGCGUUAAUCGGAAUUACUGGGCGUAAAGGGCGCGUAGGCGGUGUGUCAAGUCAGGCGUGAAAGCCCCGGGCUCAACCUGGGAACCGCGCUUGAGACUGGCACGCUCGAGUUCGGGAGAGGAUGGUGGAAUUCCCAGUGUAGAGGUGAAAUUCGUAGAUAUUGGGAAGAACACCGAUGGCGAAGGCAGCCAUCUGGACCGACACUGACGCUGAGGCGCGAAAGCGUGGGGGAGCAAACAGG